GCAAUGCCGCGUGCAGGAUGAAGGCCUUCGGGUUGUAAACUGCUUUUGUACGGAGCGAAACGGCUCUUCCUAAUACGGAGGGCUAAUGACGGUACCGUAAGAAUAAGCACCGGCUAACUACGUGCCAGCAGCCGCGGUAAUACGUAGGGUGCAAGCGUUAAUCGGAAUUACUGGGCGUAAAGCGUGCGCAGGCGGUGAUGUAAGACAGAUGUGAAAUCCCCGGGCUCAACCUGGGACCUGCAUUUGUGACUGCAUCGCUAGAGUACGGCAGAGGGGGAUGGAAUUCCGCGUGUAGCAGUGAAAUGCGUAGAUAUGCGGAGGAACACCGAUGGCGAAGGCAAUCCCCUGGGCCUGUACUGACGCUCAUGCACCAAAGCGUGCGGAGCAAACAGGAUUAAAUACCCUGGUAGUCCAGGCCCUAAACGAUGUCAACUGGUUGUUGGUUCUUCACUGACUCUCUAAACAAGCUAAA
rnacentral:rRNA from 1 species